UGGGGAAUAUUGCACAAUGGGCGAAAGCCUGAUGCAGCAACGCCGCGUGCGGGAUGACGGCCUUCGGGUUGUAAACCGCUUUCAGCAGGGACGAAGGGUUUCUGACGGUACCUGCAGAAGAAGCACCGGCUAACUACGUGCCAGCAGCCGCGGUGAUACGUAGGGUGCGAGCGUUGUCCGGAAUUAUUGGGCGUAAAGAGCUCGUAGGUGGUUUGUUGCGUCGGAAGUGAAAACUCAGGGCUUAACCCUGAGCCUGCUUUCGAUACGGGCAGACUAGAGGAAGGUAGGGGAGAACGGAAUUCCUGGUGGAGCGGUGGAAUGCGCAGAUAUCAGGAGGAACACCGGUGGCGAAGGCGGUUCCCUGGACCUUUCCUGACGCUGAGGAGCGAAAGCGUGGGGAGCAAACAGGCUUAGAUACCCUGGUAGUCCACGCCGUAAACGGUGGGCACUAGGUGUGGGGACAUUCCACGUUCUCCGUGCCGUAGCUAACGCAUUAAGUGCCCCGCCUGGGGAGUACGGCCGCAAGGCUAAACUUAAAUGAAUUGACGGGGUCAUGAGCUGUUU
rnacentral:rRNA from 1 species